GUAAAACUCAACAGUGACAAAGAGAUGAAGUACCGGUUCCAGGCUCCAAUUCUCGGAGACUCGAGGGCAGUUUACAUACAGGUACAAGGGAACCAGCCUGGAGGCAGCCAUCAGGAAGAGCCCUCGGGAAGAGAUAACAGAGAGAACUCUCACUGCAUCACUCUCUGUUUCUUACAGAGUCUCAAAGAAGGGAGAAGGCACCUCCGCUCACACCCCUUCCCCGUUUUAGAAGCACUAGCAGCAGGUUUCAGGCUCUGGCGAGCAGCAGCCCCUACCCACGCUGCCUGAGAUCCCUUCUCUCGAGUGAGUGAUUUAGAUGGUGCCGAGAGCUCUCUCGGUGUUCUAAUGGCGUCACUGCGCUGCCCUUCACCACGUCUGGAAACUGAGACUUCACCUAAAGGACUAACCCUAAUGUGAGUUGGAUGCAGAGGGACCGAAUUCCUGUAAAUAGAGGGUCAACCUGAAGGAAUACGCUUCUUUCCACAGUGAGUGAGUGGCAGGCAGCCCGACCAGGGCACCAGCUUACAGGACUCUGGGAGUGAGCUCAGGGCCACUGGGAAGGAUGUUGGCAGAAUGGAGUACCUCCUGGCAACCCGGCGCCUGCAGCUGCCAUGUGAAAAGGACUCCCUCUCAACCUGGGUGAUGCUCACUGCACGCAACAAAACAGGAAACCAGCGCCGGGCUUUAUAUCAACAAUUACACCGUAGACGGCCUCGAGAGUUCGAAGGAAGUAGGGGGUUUGCGUCUAAGUCUGGUGCUGAUGGGCUCGGUGUUUUUCCCUGAGAAAUCAGCGUGGAGCCAGGAGAGCUGGGCCCACAUGGGUCCUCCGUAAGGACACUCCCCAUCUGGCUGUGAAUUCUUAAUAGACAAAGCAACAGAGGGAGGGAAACUCAUCAGCAAGGAGAAAGGGGAAAACUCAAGACCCCUUCAAGUACACACUGAGGUGUAAUCAGAUUUUACAGGCACAUUAUAUACUGUAACCAUAGCGAUGUGUGUGCCUUCAUAUGCACACGCACAGAUUCACACAUCAAAUGUACACAGACACAAGCGUAGUGAAAUACAGUCAUUAUGCCAAGUUCUAAGGGGAAAAAAAAAAUCACCUUGUCAAAGCAGCCUGGUGGCCAGUUUCCUGUCCUCUGGUUCAAUUCAGCUUUCUCCAACCACUGGUCCUCCCUCCUGGGUCUGUAAAUACGGUAAAUACACCUGUCUUCAGUGGAAGGUGAGCGGUCCAUCAGCAUUUGUCUGGUUCAGAUGGCCUCCCCUAGAAUCUCUGGACCCUCCCGGAGCUGUUCCGAGCUUGUGAGGGAGCCGAGGGAGCCUCCAGCUGCAGUCCUUUGUCUAUGGGACUAGAUCCCUUCGUGGCCCAAUGCUCUGGGAAAUGAAGCAGCGCAAUAAAAACUUUUGAUAUUAGUUUUUAUAGGUAUUUACACUUUGGUGAGGGUAGCUGGGUACGGAAGCUUCGUUAAUCAGCCCCCGACCUUAGGUUCGGGUGGGAAAAGGAGCUGGCCGGAAAGGAAAGAAAGCAUCGGGAAGUCGGAGAGAAUGAAAAACAAAACAAAACUGCACAAGGUCAUUUUCUGUUCCUGGAAACUGAGUAAGUGGCCAUUCCAGGGGCUACCCAGUUGGCCACUCCCUCCUGCUUUGUACAGGGAAAAUGUUUUCUGCCUUUGCCUAAUACAAUAACUACACUUUAAAAUAUAUUUUCCCCCAAUACAUAUAAAAGUGUAGCAAGCCCCUCUACAUCCAAUUUAUCUUUGACUUUAUUAUCAUUUUAUCUUGCAUACCUUUUUUGAUAUUUAAAGCUUAAUUAAAUCCCAGGCAUUGAACUGCUUCAUUCUCAAUAGAAGGUUUUGAGAAUUUUCAAGAUUGUGAGAAAGGGGUGAACUGGAGUUGUUUGAGCUAAGGACUAGAGAGAACCCAAGGUUUCAUCAAGAAGGAACCUGGAGCAAAAAGAUUUCCGAUCUUAUAUGAAAUUGUAUGUGUCUUCUUUAUAAAAAUUAUACAUGCGGGGGAGGGUUAUAUCAACUUCUCUGAGUCCUUUCACUGAAGAUUUCUGUUCGCUUAAGACUGAUGUGGGGGUAAGGGGUACUGCCCUAUAUCCUAACUUGAUACAUUUUCAUGUUAAACAAAUGCCUAUUUCCUAUUUCAAAACACCUCUUUCCCUAUAGAUGUCUCAUAGAAAUUUCUAAUGCUUAAACUAAGAGGAGAAAGGGUGGACUGGAUUAAUAUCAAAGUUACCAUGGUUUUCUAGGGAAAAAAAUGUAGCUUUGUAUGCCUUUUAAAAUAUUCCUUCUGCAACAUGAGAUCUUUAAAAUACUAAAUAAACGCAUGAAUGUUUUGUUUGUA
rnacentral:lncRNA from 1 species